UCUGCCUGGUAGUGGGGGACAACGUUUCGAAAGGAACGCUAAUACCGCAUACGUCCUACGGGAGAAAGCAGGGACCUUCGGGCCUUGCGCUAUCAGAUGAGCCUAGGUCGGAUUAGCUAGUUGGUGAGGUAAUGGCUCACCAAGGCGACGAUCCGUAACUGGUCUGAGAGGAUGAUCAGUCACACUGGAACUGAGACACGGUCCAGACUCCUACGGGAGGCAGCAGUU
rnacentral:rRNA from 1 species